AGAUUGAACGCUGGCGGCGUGCUUAACACAUGCAAGUCGAGCGGUAACGCGGGAGCAAUCCUGGCGACGAGCGGCGAACGGGUGAGUAAUGCUUGGGAAUCUGCCCAUUAGUGGGGAACAACCAGCCGAAAGGUUGGCUAAUACCGCAUACGCCCUACGGGGGAAAGCGGGGGAUCGAAAGACCUCGCGCUAAUGGAUGAGCCCAAGUCGGAUUAGCUUGUUGGUAGGGUAACGGCCUACCAAGGCGACAAUCCGUAGC
rnacentral:rRNA from 1 species